AAUACGCUUCUCUUGAGAAUUGAUUUAGCUUAGAACCUGAACAAGCAAAGUUUACAAUGGAGACCAACCAACAUAGAAUCGAAGAGGUUGCAUCCGACAACUUUGUCAAAAAGGAAUUGCAGCCACCAAUGACACCCAGGCGGAAGAAGAAGAAGGUGUCGUUUGCAGUUUGGUUGGAGCAGCAAGAGCUGAAGAUCUCUGCUGAAAACAUCCAACAGCAGGACGCUUCACCUCUGACUGACAAUGGAUUGAUAACCAAAGCUCUGGAGGCAGUCGAUCAGAAAGGGGACAAACCGACACCUGACAGUGAGUCCAAGGAGAAGAACCUGGUACCAUCUAAAACCUGGUCGGAGGAACACGUCCCCGCUGACCAAGAGGUUUCUGCAGAAAACACUGAGAAGCAGAACGAAUCACUGGUCAGUGGAGAAGAGUCCACCGUGGGAGGGCAGGAGACAGUCGAGGUAGCAGAGAAAGAACAGCCCUCCAUGUCAAAGGAACAGCUACCAACUACGAGACGCGUCAAGAAGAAAAUGAUACCAUUCCACAUCUGGUUGGAGAAACACGCCCCUGUUGAUCUUAUGAUUUCAUCUGAAAGCACUGAAAACGCUUCACUGGUUGCAAAACAGGAACCGACCUCUGUACUGCAGGAGACAACAGAGAAGGAACAGCCCCUUCAGUCCGGCACUGAAACUAUUGAAAAGCUGCACACUUCUCUGCCUGAAGAGGAUCAUGACCAGAAAGAUUCCUUAAAGAAGGAGAUCUGCACAGAGGAACUUGAGAUUUCUGUAACGCAACUGGUCACUGAAAAGAACGACAUCUCCAAACCACAGAGGAAACUGGAUCAGAAAGGGGAAAAACAAUCCAAGACUAAGCACAUCAAGAAGACGCCACUGUUGUGGAAAUCUUUUCCCGAGCCUGAUGCCUGCAUAGAUCUAUCAUUUUUUUCUGAAAACGGUGACAUUAAUAACGGACCUCUGCCGGAAAACCAAAGUCUUCAAGCAGGAUUGCCCAACAGCGGAAAGAAGAUGUUUUGGAAAAUGCUGCCCAAGUCAGAACCUCGCGUAGAUAUACAAUUUUUUACCGAGAAUAUUGAAGCCCAAAGUGUUUCAAUGCCAAUGCAAGAUCAUGAUGUGGCAGCUUCCUUGAAAAAGGAAAGCUUUUCCAAGAACACCAUCUUCAAACCGCUGGGGACACCAGAGCAAAAAGAGCAGAGAAGUCCAUCUCCUGGAAAGACAACAAAUCAGUGUACGUGUGUUGCUAAAUUUAAGGAAACUGAACUGGAAUAUAUGGAAGUACAGACGUACUUAUUCAAGCAGCUUGAUGAGAUGUUCAAUGUAAAUCAGAAACUGAAUGCAAAACUUAAACAGCAGAAGGAUCUGAUCAGGAAAGGACUCUCAGAGAGACGACAAAGAAAGAAUUCAAUGGUUUCUGUUGAAACUCAGACUGAUUUUCAAGAAACCCCAAAGCAGAAAACAGUCCAGUACUCAUCUGCUUCAACUCAAACAGAGAUGAAUACACUGGAAACCAGUUAUCAGCUAAAACCAGUCCAUCAAACGACUUCAACACAAACGGAGAUGGAUACACUGGAAACCAGAUGCCCAGUCAAACCAGUUUAUCAAUCAAUUUCAACCCAAACUGAGCUGUUUUUAUUGGUAAGAAAACAGCCCUCUGAAACGGAGCUGAAUGAGCAUCAGGAUCAGGACAAGCUAUUCAAGAGAUCAGCAGGUAAGAACAGGAGAAAGUCAGGAAAGAAAGCUGCCUCUGUACUGGAGAUUCUUAGCAAUGAAAAGGUUUCUGGAGCAAACAGUGACCAGCAAAACAUUUCAGUACCAGAGAUAGUUGGGGAUGAGAUUCAGACAAAAGAAACAGUGAUCAGUAAACCACAGCAGAUCACUGAAGGAGAAACUGUUUCUGAAACCCAACAUAAUGGAGACCAGGAAGAUCAGAAAAAGACAUCGAAGAAAUCGAAGACAUCCAGACGUAAGAUCAAGAGAAAGGCAGCAUUAAAAGAUUCCUCUGAAUUUGAAAAGGUCAACAAUGAAAUCGUUUCUGGAGAAAACAGUGAACAGAAAGUUUCAGUACCGGAAACAGUUGUGGAUCCAACAGCUUCCAUCAAAAACAGGAUUCAGACAAAAGAAACGGUGAUCAGUAAACCACAGCAGAUCACUGAAGAAACUGUUUCUGAACCCCAACAUAAUGGAGACCAGGAAGAUCAGAAAAAGCCAUUGAAGACAUCCAGACGUAGGAUCAAGAGAAAGGCAGCAUUAAAAGCUUCCUCUGAAUUUGAAAAGCUCAACAAAGGCAAAGUUUCUGUAGAAAACAGUGAACAGGUAGUUUCUAUACUAGGAACUGUUGGGUAUCCGACAGCUUCCAUAGAAACCAAGAUUCAGACAAAAGAAACAGUGAUCAGUAAACCACAACAGAUCACUGAAGAAAUGGUCUCAACAACCCAACAAAAUGGAGACCAGGAAGAUCAGAAAAAGACAUCGAAGACAUCUAGACGUAAGAUCAAGAGCAAGGCAGCAUUAAAAGCUUCCUCUGAAUUGGAGACUCCCAAUAAUGAAAACGCUUCUGGAAAAGACAGUGAACAUCAAGUAGUUUCUACUCUAGAAACAGUUGAGGAUCCAACAGCUUCCUUUAUAAACAAGAUUCAAACAGAAGAAGCAGUGAUCAGUAAAUCACAGCAGAUCACUGAAGGCGAAACUGUUUCUGAAACCCAACAAAAUGGAGACCAGGAAGAUCAGAAAAAGACAUCAAAGAAAUCUAGAUGUAAGAAAUCGAGAAAGAUGGCAGUGAAAGCUGAACUGGAAACUGGAAACCCGAUAGAGACAGAACAAAACUUGGUCCAAAACACCAAGACACCAAAAACAGAUUUAGAAAUUAUACCGGAGAUCCCCCAGACAGCUUUUGAGGAAAUAGAGACAGAAUCUUGCAAAGAUUCAGAAGAUGUAACGGGUAAAGUUCCUGUAGUUUCCACAGAAUCAGAGGGUGGUCUAAUGGAAACACAGAGAACAUCCCCUCCACAGGUAAACGGUACAUUAAAGGAAGAAGUAAUCCAAACAGCUCAGGAAUCAGAGACUCAAGCAGCUGAAGAUCCAGCGGAGCACAUCAUUGUCUCUGAAGAAGAAGAGAUCCCCAUGAAUAAGAUGUCACUGUGGAAGCGUUUGAAAAAGGCUUUAUCUCCAACAUCUCUACGCAAGUUCAAAAACAGAUCUGCUGGCCUUGGAGAGACAGGUGUUUGACUUCCUUGGUUACCAAUGGGCUCCCAUUCUUGCAAACUUUUUCCACAGCAUCAUUGUAAUCUUGGGCCUCUUUGGAACCAUCCAGUACCGGCCACGAUACAUUAUUGUGUACGCUGUUUGGGCCGCACUUUGGGUAGCCUGGAACGUCUUCAUUAUCUGCUUUUAUCUGAACGUUGGAGGUCUGUCAAAG